AUUGAACGCUGGCGGCAGGCCUAACACAUGCAAGUCGAGCGGAUGAAGAGAGCUUGCUCUCUGAUUCAGCGGCGGACGGGUGAGUAAUGCCUAGGAAUCUGCCUGGUAGUGGGGGACAACGUUUCGAAAGGAACGCUAAUACCGCAUACGUCCUACGGGAGAGAGCAGGGGACCUUCGGGCCUUGCGCUAGCAGAUGAGCCUAGGUCGGAUUAGCUAGUAGGUGAGGUAAAGGCUCACCUAGGCGACGAUCCGUAACUGGUCUGAGAGGAUGAUCAGUCACACUGGAACUGAGACACGGUCCAGACUCCUACGGGAGGCAGCAGUGGGGAAUAUUGGACAAUGGGCGAAAGCCUGAUCCAGCCAUGCCGCGUGUGUGAAGAAGGUCUUCGGAUUGUAAAGCACUUUAAGUUGGGAGGAAGGGCAGUAAGUUAAUACCUUGCUGUUUUGACGUUACCAACAGAAUAAGCACCGGCUAACUUCGUGCCAGCAGCCGCAGUAACAC
rnacentral:rRNA from 1 species